rnacentral:rRNA from 1 species
UACGGGGGGGGCAAGCGUUGUUCGGAAUUACUGGGCGUAAAGGGCUCGUAGGCGGCCAACUAAGUCAUACGUGAAAUCCCUCGGCUUAACCGGGGAACUGCGUCUGAUACUGGAUGGCCUGAGUUCGGGAGAGGGAUGCGGAAUUCCAGGUGUAGCGGUGAAAUGCGUAGAUAUCUGGAGGAACACCGGUGGCGAAGGCGGAAUCCUGGACCGAUACUGACACUGAGGAGCGAAAGCCAGGGGAGCAAACGGG